UCGGGGUGCUGGAAAGAGAUCUGGGGUGCUGAGGAGCAAUGGGGGGGGUAAGGAGGAAGCAGGGGGUCGGGGAGGACCAGGGCCACCCGGGAGAGGAGCCGAGCGUUGAGGGGGACGCCGAAGAAGGGGCGCGAGGGCGCCAUGAGCUGGGGGGGGGGGGGGGUGCAGCUGGUCGCGAACCCUGGAGAGGAGCCGCAGGCGUCGGGGGUGCCCUCCCCCGCCGACGCUAACCCCCUGGUCCCCCCCGCCACCUACCCGGGGUCCCGCUCCGUCCUCUGCGCGGGGGCUGGUGGCCCGGCGACGGGGCCCACGACUGGCGGAGCGCGGACGGCGCUCAGACGGCUCCACCCCUGGCCUCCGCCCGCCCCUUCCGCGCCCCGCAGGGAGCCUGGCAGGAAGGGCCAAUGAAAAUCAUAAUGCCUCUGACCAGAUUUCUUUGCCAGUGUGGAGACGCUCGGAGCCUCUUCUGAAAACACCAUCGCGACUCCCGGGGCAAAGGGUCCCACCAGCCACAUGAUGGGCGUGUUCUGGGCCACGUACUCAACCAUGUGGUCAAGGGCCUCUCGGGCCUUGGCCACCUGCUCUCGGCUCUGCGUCAGGAUAGUGCUGGACAGGUCCUGGAAGGAAUGGACGCCAGAAAAGGUGGCCUGGAGGCCCUCCACCUGGUGGCGAGCCUGCUGAACCUGGUCCUUCACGUGGGAGGGCAGCCCCUGGAUGCUGGACCCCAGCGAGGCACAGGUGUUCUGCAGCUGCUGGGCAAUGUCGCGGAACAUGGUAUCUACCCAGGAGAAAUGGAGACGCGACCAUACACGGGCUGGGGCUGGUCACAGGACGUGAUCCACAGGAGGCAAAAGUGGAGACAACCCAGAAGCCCAUCAGCUUGUAAACGGGUAAACAAAACCCACACAGGGGAACGUCACUGGGGCCUCGAGCAGGAGCGAGGCGCCCACCCCUGCUGCCCCGCAGUCGGACCCUGAACACACGACCCUCAGGGAGGGAACCGGACACGGGAGGCCCCACAGAAUGUGAAACGGCCAGAACAGGCUCAUCCACAGACAGGAAGGGGGUUCGUGGGUGCUGGGGACAAAGAGCGUCUGCUACAACGGGGACAAGAUCUCCUUUGGGGUUGGUGGGAACGUUCUAAAUGCACCGUGGCGAUGUUCGCACAGCCCUGUGACCACGCGAGAAACCACUGGAUCAUCUGCAUGGGUGAACCGUAUGGCAUGUGAAUUAUAUCUCAAUAAAGCUUUUUUUUUUUUUUU